UGAACAUCGACAGAUAUCCUACAUAGACUGCUGUCAAAGAUUCUAUAGUUGCUGUUGUGCAGCUGAGCUGACAGUCUCAAUGAAUGCUAUGUUUUUCUUCUUCUCUCUUGAUACACUUUUGUCAGUUAAGCACCGUCCCUUUGGAUUUUGUUGAGUAAUGUUAAACUCUGCAGACAGUAUGGAGACCAGGUACAUGUAAACAGACGUGUCAGGAAGAGCCCAGUUCCGACCUGCAUACUGCAUCCAGGGAUAACGUUAACGUUACUCCCCUAUGGGGACUCGCGGUGAGCCCGAGGUGAAAUGGCAGAACGCGCUCCUCCUAAAUGUGCUGUUCAAGGUUGUGAAAGCGGUGACCAUACGUUUCAUACCCUUCCCAAGGAACCAAAUUGUCGACAGGCAUGGCUGAUGUUCAUAUUUAGUAAGAUUCCACAUACCUUUAACCCGAAAUUGUUAAUUUGCUCUGCUCAUUUUACUUCGGACUGUUUUGCCAACAUGAAACAGUUUCAAGCAGGCUUCGCCCAGCGUUUGGUACUGAACAGAGGAACAGUUCCAACUUUAUUGCCACCAUACCCUUUAUGGCCACCUAAACCUCAACUGGAAUCGCAAACAAGCAGACUAUGCACCAGUCCAUGCAUCAGCCCGACUGAGCAGUGAUGACAACAUAGGAUGAGUCAGAGUACAGUAGGCCUACAUCAACUCCCACAUACAAGCGAUGCUUGCUGCCAAACUGAUGUCGUGUCACAGGAAACACAGUUGUCCUCAAAAACAUUGAGACCUCAGUUACGCAGCAUAGGCACACAGGCUACGGUGCCAUAUCAGAGUGUGGCGGUUGGCAGCACGACUACUGCAAUGGCGACCUUAAUUCCAUUAAGUUCAACACCAGUCAAGACUUCAUGGCCAGUAAAAAGACCCCAUCUUGAAUUGGAGUUGGAGGAAGAAGUAGAGAAUGGCUCCACCGCAGCCACCGAGCCACAAGAUUCAACCCAUGAUACGGCAUUGUCUAUUACAAAUGAGACCGAAUCAUCACGACCCUUCACACCACCAUUUAUAUCAUAUGGGGAUGCCAAGUACAUAGUUUUUGAGGACUGCCUCCUCAGCCUGUUUGAGACUUGUCCUGUGUGCACCAAGGCUUGUAAUGUCCACCCACGCAGGCGAGGGACCUUCUUAGCUGUCGACCAACUCUGCCCUCACUGUGGUUUCUUCAGACAGUGGAGGAGUCAGCCAAAGAGUAUAGAAGGACCAAACGGCGAAACUUAAUCGGAUAUUCCAUAGCAACGAAUGCCUCCAUUAGCAUCCGCCAUUUUGGACUGGUGACCACACAACCUACCGGUUGAAAAGUGCCUCACGAAAUUAAAACAAAAAUAUACUCAUUCUACAUAUCCUUAAUGCCUCAACUGACAUGACUUGUGUUGAAUGAUGCAAAAUAUAAGUAUGCAUUCGUUUAUAGUUAUUUAGGCUAAUCUCACCAGAUUUGACAGAAGGUUGAUUUACCAAGCUGAGCAAGUCACUUUGACUCAGUUGUUACAUUUGAGUUUGUACAUAUGACCUAUUGUGUUUAAAUGUGAAUGAGCAGCUGGGGUUCUGGUUUUAUGCUGUUUAACAUGGGUAUGUUCAGUCCAAAAUGGUGAAAGCACUCUUCUACUUUGAGUCAGCCUGUCAUUGGCAGCACCCCUGUGGGCAACCUAGAGUUGGUCAGCUGCCAUCGAGUGGAGUUCCCUUUUUCAAGAUGAAAAAGGUAUUGUGUCCAUUUUCCAUAGCAAGAUGUGUUUGUUGAAGCAACAUAUUUUAUAUUUGUUUUACAUAUUAAGACUGAGAAUGCACACUUAUGAUGCACUCAGGAGGCAUGCCAGGACUUACCUCAAACCUGCUAUUGUCCACAUUUUGAAUGAGAGGCGGAAAGCGUUGCUUCAAGGCCUGAGCCAGAACGGUGAUGGCAUAGUGGGUGUUGAUAUUCAUGCAGACACACCACCAGGUAUGUGCACUACUUCAUUUUUUAUGAAUAAUUUGGUUAUAGUGUUCAGUCAUAACCUGGCAUGCAUUUCAGGACAUUGUGCAAAAUAUCGCACGGUUGCACCAUGUUGGACUUGCAGACAAACCAGAUCAUUGACUACCAUAUGGAGAAGGUAUGAAGUUGGGCUGUAUUAAUUUACCAGUAAACGUCACCCUCAAGUCCAAAAGCUUCUAAAGGAUCGUAACAUCAACUUUUACAUGAUUACGGAUUUCUGUGCCACUGGACUUUUGUGCCCAGAAUGACAGACCUGCCAUGGAGGAUGCUGUAGCUCAUCUGUACCCCAACAUACUGCCCUGGAGUGUUAGGAAACUCCAUCUGAAUGCGGAGCACCACACAUGAUGGUAGCCGCACAAACACUUCUACCAAGAAAGCCCCAGCACCAGCUGACCAUCCGUCUGCAGCUCAAGUACUGCGCUGCCUGCAAGGAGUUGAGACACAACUUUUCUAGUCAUUGUUUUGUUCAGUGUUUAACAGGGUCGGGCAUGCAUGCACAAUGCUGAAAAACAAUAAAGUGUGUAGUGCUGGGCGGUAUACUGGUUCACACCGUAUACCGGUGUAUAUUUUCAUUAUGAUAUGAAUUUUUAAUAUAGCA